rnacentral:lncRNA from 1 species
AAAGAAAUUGUCAUUUGAAAGCUAGUGUAAUUUCAAACAUUAGUAAAUAAACGAAAUGUUAUAAACUGAUAUUUUUCACAUUUCUGUAUAGUUACAGUACAAAAUGUGCUUAUGUUCUGAAUUAGGAAAAAAUUGUAGGAAAUAUUUAAAAUUGGAUUUACAGAAGUCAGGUAUAUAUAAAUUAUAAUACAAGUAGUUUUUCAUCUAUGACAAUGGAGUUCAUAUCAGAUCCUGCUGUCAUGAGUUGUAAAUGCCCAAAAUUUAUCUAUUGCACAUUACAAAUAUUUGUCAUUAUAUUCCACUUUAUUGCAAUAAACUUAACAAACAAAAAUACAAGAACUAGAUACAAAAAUAAUGUUUUUUUGCUUAUCAGACAAUUGUUCAAAGAUUUGAACCCUUUGUCAGUUGUAUUGAAUAAUCACAGAAUUUAUCAAUGACGUUGUCGUAAAUUGAGGACUACUUCCAUAUACUAAUUAGGCCAGACUCCCUAUGAAAAUUUUCUGAAUUAUAAGAUGUAGAAGCCAAAAUGUUUAUGCACAGUUAAUUCUGUCAACAAUCCAAAAUUAAAAUUAUACUAUAAGAUAAAAUAAAAUAUUACUGGUUUCACUUGGAUUAAUGCUAUAAUUUUGUUUUAGUUUGAUGGUUAAUUAGUAAAAUAUGAAAAUAAAAAAGAUUGUUUUGAUAAUAUUAUGUGAGCUGUAGAAAUUGAAUUUGAAUUUUUUUUACUAAUCAUAAAGUAUAGCUAUUGAUAAUUUGGUCUUAAGUAGCUGCUGCUAAAAUUAUCCCAUGUAUGAUCUAGAUCAGUGAUUCCCAAAGUGGGCGAUAUCGCCCCCCAGGGGCAUUCUCGUUCUCGAAGGGGGUGCUGGAACAAAAAGGGGCGAUCGGGAACGAUAGAUUAUGUAGAGAGCGUUGAGAUUUCAUGACCUG